rnacentral:tRNA from 1 species
GGGGUUGUGGCUCAGUGGUAGAGUGCUCGCCUAGCACUUGAGAGGCCCUGGGUUUGAUCCUCAGCACCACA